rnacentral:siRNA from 1 species
GAUGGAAUCGAGGACAAAACGUAG